rnacentral:rRNA from 1 species
UACGGGGGGGGCAAGCGUUGUUCGGAAUUACUGGGCGUAAAGGGCUCGUAGGCGGCCAACUAAGUCAGACGUGAAAUCCCCAGGCUCAACCUGGGAACUGCGUCUGAUACUGGAUGGCUUGAAUCCGGGAGAGGGAUGCAGAAUUCCAGGUGUAGCGGUGAAAUGCGCAGAUAUCAGGAGGAACACCUGCGGCGAAGGCGGGUUGCUGGGCCGACACUGACGCUGAGGCGCGAAAGCCAGGGGAGCGAACGGG